rnacentral:rRNA from 1 species
GGAUUCCAGACUUUGAUUAUGGCUCAGGACGAACGCUGGCGGCGCGCCUAACACAUGCAAGUCGAACGAGAGAUGAGGAGCUUGCUCUUCAAAUCGAGUGGCGAACGGGUGAGUAACGCGUGAGGAACCUGCCUCAAAGAGGGGGACAACAGUUGGAAACGACUGCUAAUACCGCAUAAGCCCACGGCUCGGCAUCGAGCAGAGGGAAAAGGAGUGAUCCGCUUUGAGAUGGCCUCGCGUCCGAUUAGCUGGUUGGUGAGGUAACGGCCCACCAAGGCGACGAUCGGUAGCCGGACUGAGAGGUUGAACGGCCACAUUGGGACUGAGACACGGCCCAGACUCCUACGGGAGGCAGCAGUGGGGAAUAUUGCACAAUGGGGGAAACCCUGAUGCAGCGACGCCGCGUGGAGGAAGAAGGUCUUCGGAUUGUAAACUCCUGUUGUUGAGGAAGAUAAUGACGGUACUCAACAAGGAAGUGACGGCUAACUACGUGCCAGCAGCCGCGGUAAAACGUAGGUCACAAGCGUUGUCCGGAAUUACUGGGUGUAAAGGGAGCGCAGGCGGGAGGACAAGUUGGAAGUGAAAUCCAUGGGCUCAACCCAUGAACUGCUUUCAAAACUGUUUUUCUUGAGUAGUGCAGAGGUAGGCGGAAUUCCCGGUGUAGCGGUGGAAUGCGUAGAUAUCGGGAGGAACACCAGUGGCGAAGGCGGCCUACUGGGCACCAACUGACGCUGAGGCUCGAAAGUGUGGGUAGCAAACAGGAUUAGAUACCCUGGUAGUCCACACCGUAAACGAUGAUUACUAGGUGUUGGAGGAUUGACCCCUUCAGUGCCGCAGUUAACACAAUAAGUAAUCCACCUGGGGAGUACGACCGCAAGGUUGAAACUCAAAUGAAUUGACGG